rnacentral:rRNA from 1 species
AUGGCAAUAGUCCAAUACACAUUUGACAAGAUGAAUGCGUACUUUGUAAAGUACUUGAUGGAAACCGAUGCACAGAUAGCGGGUGAGAACCCACGGAAGUACAAGUACAAGUUCCCACCCAAAGUUGAUAAAUGGUUGGUAUUUCAAUCACGGAAGGCGGACUCGGAAGAAGCUAUAUUAUAUGACAACGAAGAGUGGAAGUACGAAGUGAAAGAGCCAGGAGGAACCACAAACGAUGGCCGGCAACAUGGAGGUCGGGCUUUCAAGGUGUCGUUAACACAAUGUGAUUGCACUUGCGGGAGGCCAUUGUUGCUUCAUCUCCCAUGCUCACAUUUGUAUGCCGCCGGUCGCGUUAGGAAUGUGGACAUCAAUCACCCACGCACCGUGAGGGAGUUGGAGUUCUCAAUCAUGAUGGUCAAGAAAACAUGGGCUCCCCGCUUCCACCCAUACUUUGACCAAUCACAAUGGCCGGAGUAUCAUGGAGUUCAACUAUGGCCGGAUCCG